GGGUCAAUGAUGAGGACUUUGUAUUUCCUUGAGGAGCAGAGAUGACUUAAAUAUCAUGUACAAUGGCAUGACGCUGAGGCCC
rnacentral:snoRNA from 1 species